rnacentral:rRNA from 1 species
CACCGCGGUUAAACGAGAGGCCCGAGUUGAUAGCUACCGGCGUAAAGGGUGGUUAUGAUUUUCUGACUAUAAAGUAAAAUACCCUCACAGCCGUAAUAAGCACUCGAGGAUAAGAAACCCAAUCGCGAAAGUAACUUUAAAACAUCUGACCCCACGAAGACUAGGGCA